rnacentral:rRNA from 1 species
UACAGAGGGUGCGAGCGUUGUUCGGAAUUAUUGGGCGUAAAGCGCUUGUAGGCGGCCUGUUAAGUUCCGUGUGAAAUCCCUAGGCUUAACCUAGGAAGUGCGCGGAAAACUGGCGGGCUUGAGUGCCGGAGAGGGUCGCGGAAUUCCCGGUGUAGAGGUGAAAUUCGUAGAUAUCGGGAGGAACACCAGUGGCGAAGGCGGCGACCUGGACGGACACUGACGCUGAGACGCGAAAGCGCGGGGAG